UUGACCUCGGAUCAGGUAGGAAGACCCGCUGAACUUAAGCAUAUCAAUAAGCGGAGGAAAAGAAACCAACAGGGAUUGCCCUAGUAACGGCGAGUGAAGCGGCAACAGCUCAAAUUUGAAAUCUGGCUUCGGCCCGAGUUGUAAUUUGCAGAGGAAGCUUUAGGCGCGGCACCUUCUGAGUCCCCUGGAACGGGGCGCCAUAGAGGGUGAGAGCCCCGUAUAGUUGGAUGCCUAGCCUGUGUAAAGCUCCUUCGACGAGUCGAGUAGUUUGGGAAUGCUGCUCAAAAUGGGAGGUAAAUUUCUUCUAAAGCUAAAUACCGGCCAGAGACCGAUAGCGCACAAGUAGAGUGAUCGAAAGAUGAAAAGCACUUUGAAAAGAGGGUUAAAUAGCACGUGAAAUUGUUGAAAGGGAAGCGCUUGUGACCAGACUUGCGCCGGGCGGAUCAUCCGGUGUUCUCACCGGUGCACUCCGCCCGGCUCAGGCCAGCAUCGGUUCUCGCGGGGGGAUAAAGGUCCUGGGAACGUAGGCCUCUCCCGGGAGUGUUAUAGCCCGGGGCGUAAGUCGCUCCGCGGGGACCGAGGUUCGCGCAUCUGAAGA
rnacentral:rRNA from 1 species